GACGAACGCUGGCGGCGUGCUUAACACAUGCAAGUCGAACGGAAAGGCCCUGCUUUUGUGGGGUGCUCGAGUGGCGAACGGGUGAGUAACACGUGAGUAAACUGCCCUUGACUUUGGGAUAACUUCAGGAAACUGGGGCUAAUACCGGAUAGGAGCUCCUGAUGCAUGGUGGGGGUUGGAAAGUUUCGGCGGUUGGGGAUGGACUCGCGGCGUAUCAGCUUGUUGGUGGGGUAGUGGCUUACCAAGGCUUUGACGGGAAGCCGGCCUGAGAGGGUGACCGGCCACAUUGGGACUGAGGUACGGCCCAGACUCCUACGGUAGGCAGCAGUGGGGAAUAUUGCAGAAUGGGCGGAAGCCUGAUGCAGCAACUCCGCGUGCGGUAUGACGGCCUUCGGGUUGUAAACCGCUUGCGCCUGUGACGAAGCGUGAGUGACGGUAAUGGGUAAAGAAGCACCGGCUAACUACGUG
rnacentral:rRNA from 1 species